GUCCCAGUUCGGAUUGCAGGCUGCAACCCGCCUGCAUGAAGUUGGAAUCGCUAGUAAUCGCGGAUCAGCAUGCCGCGGUGAAUACGUUCCCGGGCCUUGUACACACCGCCCGUCACACCAUGAGAGUCGGGAACACCCGAAGUCCGUAGCCUGACCGCAAGGAGGGCGCGGCCGAAGGUGGGUUCGAUAAUUGGGGUGAAGUCGUAACAAGGUACC
rnacentral:rRNA from 1 species